UUUCCGUAGGUGAACCUGCGGAAGGAUCAUUAUUGUAUAACCGAGGUGCGAGGGCUGUCGCUGACCCGAAAGGUCGUGCACGCCCGAGUGCCCUCACACACAUCCAUCUCACCCCUAUGUGCACCACCGCGUGGGUCCCCCUUUGGCUUGUUCGGAGGGGGGCUUACGUUUUCACACAAACUUUGUAUGCAGUGUAGAAUGUAUUUUUUGUUUUUGCGAUCACGCAAUCAAUACAACUUUCAACAACGGAUCUCUUGGCUCUCGCAUCGAUGAAGACGAGC
rnacentral:misc_RNA from 1 species